UGGGUGACCUGCCCUCAGCUCUGGGAUAAGCCUGGGAAACUGGGUCUAAUACUGGAUAUUCACUUCUCAUCGCAUGGUGGGUGGUGGAAAGUUUUUUCGGCUGGGGAUGGGCCCGCGGCCUAUCAGCUUGUUGGUGGGGUGAUGGCCUACCAAGGCGACGACGGGUAGCCGGCCUGAGAGGGCGACCGGCCACACUGGGACUGAGACACGGCCCAGACUCCUACAGGA
rnacentral:rRNA from 1 species